AGCGAACGCUGGCGGCAGGCCUAACACAUGCAAGUCGAACGAACUCUUCGGAGUUAGUGGCGGACGGGUGAGUAACACGUGGAACGUGCCUUUAGGUUCGGAAUAACUCAGGGAAACUUGUGCUAAUACCGAAUGUGCCCUUCGGGGGAAAGAUUUAUCGCCUUUAGAGCGGCCCGCGUCUGAUUAGCUUGUUGGUGGGGUAAUGGCCCACCAAGGCGACGAUCAGUAGCUGGUCUGAGAGGAUGACCAGCCACAUUGGGACUGAGACACGGCCCAAACUCCUACGGGAGGCAGCAGUGGGGAAUCUUGCGCAAUGGGCGAAAGCCUGACGCAGCCAUGCCGCGUGGAUGAUGAGGGUCUUAGGAUUGUAAAAUCCUUUCACCGGUGAAGAUAAUGACUGUAGCCGGAGAAGAAGCCCCGGCUAACUUCGUGCCAGCCGCCGCGGUAAGAC
rnacentral:rRNA from 1 species